rnacentral:rRNA from 1 species
GGCAGCAGUGGGGAAUAUUGGACAAUGGGCGAAAGCCUGAUCCAGCGACGCCGCGUGUCGGAAGGAGUCCUUCGGGAUGUAAACGACUUUUGGUGGAGACGAAUAAGCAGCUCAGGGAAUGGGGCUGUGAUGACGGUAUCCAUGGAAUAAGCCCCGGCUAAUUACGUGCCAGCAGCCGCGGUAAGACGUAGGGGGCAAGCGUUACCCGGAAUUACUGGGCGUAAAGGGAGCGUAGGCGGGAGGUCAAGUCCGGUGUGAAAGACCCUGGCUCAACCAGGGAUGAGGGCUGGAAACUGACAAUCUUGAGUACAGCAGAGGAAGAGGGAAUUACCGGUGUAGGGGUGAAAUCCGUAGAGACCGGUAAGAAGGCCAGUGGCGAAGGCGCUUUUCUGGGCUGUUACUGACGCUGAGGCUCGAAAGCCAGGGGAGCAAACCGGAUUAGAUACCCGGGUAGUCCUGGCCGUAAACGAUGCUCACUAGGUGUGGGGCGCAUAGCGUGCUCUGCGCUGAAGCAAACGCAA